rnacentral:lncRNA from 1 species
GCUCACCAAGUGAGGUCAUUUCUCAAAACUUCUCAAAGAAGAUGGGUUCCCGUCCUAACACGGAGUCAGCGUUUCAGUGACAAGCCUUCAAAGCUCUCCAUAUCUUAAAUGUACUUGAAUGGACAGUUCAUUUGAGCAAUGACUCAGCAGAACUGAGCUUAUUCUCUUGGAGAAGAAUAUUUUCGGGUCACUAUUUUUUGGUGAUUUCAAAAACCUGGACAUGCAACAGAAUGCUUGUCUUGCUAGAGGAGCAUUGAGUUGAGAGGGGCUCAUCAAAAGACUGAAUAACAACAAUAAAAUUGGGAUAUGUAUAUGUGUAUAUAUAUAUAUAUAUAUAUAUAUAUAUAUAUAUAUAUAUCCCUUUUAGAUUCACAAAGCACUUUACAUACAUGCCCUCAUUCCAUCCUCAUGUCCUGGAAGGUUCGAUGUUUGUUUUCUACCUAUCACGAUUUCUCUAGCCUCCCAAGUGAUAAACUUUGCAUUCUGCCAGUAGAAAAGGCUACAAAAAAUUAACCAAGCUAACUUUUAUUGGCUUGUUUUCUUUGACAAAAACAUAAUGAAAUGAGGUGCACCUCUGACC